UACGUAGGGUGCGAGCGUUGUCCGGAAUUAUUGGGCGUAAAGAGCUCGUAGGCGGUCUGUCGCGUCUGCUGUGAAAAUCCAGGGCUCAACCCUGGACCUGCAGUGGGUACGGGCAGACUAGAGUGUGGUAGGGGAGACUGGAAUUCCUGGUGUAGCGGUGGAAUGCGCAGAUAUCAGGAGGAACACCGAUGGCGAAGGCAGGUCUCUGGGCCAUUACUGACACUGAGAAGCGAAAGCAUGGGGAGCGAACAGG
rnacentral:rRNA from 1 species